rnacentral:lncRNA from 1 species
UUAACAACUAAACAUGGGUUAUGUUUGGCAAGAUCCUCAAGAUCUACUACAUACACAUUCCCAUGUCUUAUUCCUUUAAAAACUAAACUAUUGUCAUUUGAGUUGGUUAUGAUGCAUAAGGAUGGUUUGAACAAAACAUCAAAACCUCUAUCACACAAUUGACUAAUGCUAAGUAGAUUAUGUUUAAGACCAUCAACAUAUCGAACAUUAUCAAUAAAGGUUGAAGGGGUAAUUUGUACUUUACCUAUACCAAUGAUGUGACCUUGGUUAUUGUCUCUAAAUGUCACAGCACCUCCCUUCUUAGGCUCAAGGGUGAAGAAUUGGUCCUUGUCACCCGUCAUGUGUCUUGAGCAGCCACUAUCCAAGUACCAACAAUUUUUGUCGACCUUGGCUGCAAGACACUCCUACACAAGCACAUCAUACAAUUUUAGGUACCCAAGUUUUCUUGGAUCCUUCAUGGU